GUGCCAGCCGCCGCGGUAAUACGUAGGUGGCGAGCGUUGUCCGGAUUUAUUGGGCGUAAAGCGCGCGCAGGCGGACCCUUAAGUCCGAUGUGAAAGCCCCCGGCUCACCUGGGGGAGGCCAUGGGAGACUGGGGGUCUGGAGGCAGGCAGAGGCCGGUGGAAUUCCCGGUGUAGUGGUGAAAUGCGUAGAGAUCGGGAGGAACACCAGUGGCGAAGGCGGCCGGCUGGGCCUGUCCUGACGCUGAGGCGCGAAAGCGUGGGGAGCGAACCGGAUUAGAUACCCCCGUAGUCC
rnacentral:rRNA from 1 species